UCGAUUCCCUCUUUCUCCA
rnacentral:snRNA from 1 species